GAUGAACGCUGGCGGCGUGCCUAAUACAUGCAAGUCGAGCGAACAGACGAGGAGCUUGCUCCUCUGACGUUAGCGGCGGACGGGUGAGUAACACGUGGAUAACCUACCUAUAAGACUGGGAUAACUUCGGGAAACCGGAGCUAAUACCGGAUAAUAUAUUGAACCGCAUGGUUCAAUAGUGAAAGACGGUUUUGCUGUCACUUAUAGAUGGAUCCGCGCCGCAUUAGCUAGUUGGUAAGGUAACGGCUUACCAAGGCGACGAUGCGUAGCCGACCUGAGAGGGUGAUCGGCCACACUGGAACUGAGACACGGUCCAGACUCCUACGGGAGGCAGCAGUAGGGAAUCUUCCGCAAUGGGCGAAAGCCUGACGGAGCAAAGCCGCGUGAGUGAUGAAGGUCUUCGGAUCGUAAAACUCUGUUAUUAGGGAAGAAAAAAAGUGUAAGUAACUAUGCACGUCUUGACGGUACCUAAACAGAAAGCCACGGCUAACUACGUG
rnacentral:rRNA from 1 species